rnacentral:rRNA from 1 species
UACGAAGGGGGCUAGCGUUGCUCGGAAUCACUGGGCGUAAAGCGCACGUAGGCGGCUUUCUAAGUCAGGGGUGAAAUCCUGGAGCUCAACUCCAGAACUGCCUUUGAUACUGGGAAGCUCGAGUCCGGAAGAGGUGAGUGGAACUGCGAGUGUAGAGGUGAAAUUCGUAGAUAUUCGCAAGAACACCAGUGGCGAAGGAGGCUCACUGGUCCGGUACUGACGCUGAGGUGCGAAAGCGUGGGAGCAAACAGG